rnacentral:rRNA from 1 species
CCCUUAGAUGUCCGGGGCCGCACGCGCGCUACAAUGGAUGAAUCAACGCGUCGUCCUGGCCCGAAAGGGUUGGGGAACCGCUGAACCUCAUCCGUGGUUGGGAUUGGGGUUUGUAAUUAUUCCCCAUGAACUAGGAAUUCCCAGUAAGCGCGAGUCAUAAGCUCGCGUUGAUUACGUCCCUGCCCUUUGUACACACCGCCCGUCGCACCUACCGAUUGGAUGGUCCGGUGAAGCCUCGGGAUUGUGGUUCUUGCCGCUUUAUUGUGGCGUGACCGCGAGAACUUGUCUAAACCUUAUCAUCUAGAGGAAGGUGAAGUCGUAACA